GUAGAUAUCGGGAGGAACACCAGUGGCGAAGGCGGCAUCGUGGGCUGCUCCUGACGCUGAAGGCGAAAGUUAGGGGAGUGAACGGGAUUAGAAACCCCUGUAGUCCUAGCCGUAAACGAUGGUUUCUAGGUGUGGUAGGUGUAGAUUCCAGUCGUGCCGCAGUUAACGCGUUAAGCAUCCCGCAUGGGGAGUACGGCCGCAAGGCUAAAAUUCAAACGAAUUGACGGGGGCCCGCACAAGCAGCGGAGCGUGUGGUUUAAUUCGAUGGUACACGAAGAACCUUACCUGGGCUUGACAUACAGGUAGUAGUGAAGUGAAAGCGGAUCGAUCUUUCGGGGAGCCUUUACAGCUGUUGCAUGGCUGUUGUCAUCUCGUGCCGUGAGGUGUCGGGUUAAGUCCCGUAACGAGCGCAACCCUUGCUUUUAGUUAUACGUGUAUAAGAGGAUUGCCGGCGGUUAGCCGGAGGAAGGUGGGGAUGACGUCAAGUCUGCAUGUCCUUUAUGUCCAGGGCUACACACCCGUUACAAUGGCCGGUACAAUGGGUAGCUAAACCGUGAGGUGGAGCCAAUCCUGUAAAGCCGGUCUCAGUUCGAAUUGCAGGCUGCAACUCGCCUGCAUGAAGUCGGAGUUGCUUGUAAUCGCAGGUCAGCAAUACUGCGGUGAAUACGUUCCCGGGCCUUGUACACACCGCCCGUCACGUCAUGGAAGCUGGCAACACCUGAAGCCGGUGAGCUAGCCCGAAAGGGGGGCAACUGUCGAAGG
rnacentral:rRNA from 1 species